rnacentral:rRNA from 1 species
GACGAACGCUGGCGGCGUGCCUAAUACAUGCAAGUAGAACGCUGAAGGAGGAGCUUGCUCUUCUGGAUGAGUUGCGAACGGGUGAGUAACGCGUAGGUAACCUGCCUGGUAGCGGGGGAUAACUAUUGGAAACGAUAGCUAAUACCGCAUAACAGUAGAUGUUGCAUGACAUUUACUUAAAAGGUGCAAUUGCAUCACUACCAGAUGGACCUGCGUUGUAUUAGCUAGUUGGUGGGGUAACGGCUCACCAAGGCGACGAUACAUAGCCGACCUGAGAGGGGGAGCGGCCACACUGGGACUGAGACACGGCCCAGACUCCUACGGGAGGCAGCAGUAGGGAAUCUUCGGCAAUGGACGGAAGUCUGACCGAGCAACGCCGCGUGAGUGAAGAAGGUUUUCGGAUCGUAAAGCUCUGUUGUAAGAGAAGAACGAGUGUGAGAGUGGAAAGUUCACACUGUGACGGUAUCUUACCAGAAAGGGACGGCUAACUACGUG